GAUGAACGCUGGCGGCGUGCCUAAUACAUGCAAGUCGAGCGAACAGACGAUGAGCUUGCUCCUCUGACGUUAGCGGCGCACGGGUGAGUAACACGUGGAUAACCUACCUAUAAGACUGGUAUAACUUCGGGAAACCGGAGCUAAUACCGGAUAAUAUCUUGAACCGCAUGGGGCAAUAGUGAGAGACGGCUUUGCUGUCACUACUAGAUGGUUACGCGCCGCAUUAGCUGGUUGGUACGGUCACAGCUUACCAAGGCGACUAUGCGUAGGCGACGUAAGAGGCUGAUCGGCGACACUGGAACGUGGCCAGCGUCCAUACGCCUACGAGAGGCAGCAGUAGCGAAUCGGCCGCAGUGGUCGAGAGCCUUACGGAGCAACGCCGCGCGAGAGAUGAAGGCGCUCCGAGCGUGAAGCUCGGUUAUUAGUUAAGAACAGAUUUGUACGUAACCAUGCACGGCUUGACGGUACUGAAUCAGAAAGCCCCGGCUAACUACGUG
rnacentral:rRNA from 1 species